CCACUCAUAAAGGCACUCAUAUAUGAGUUUGUUGAAGAGAGAUCUGAAGGAAGUUGUGAGCAAUUUAUUUUUGCUUCUAACCCUAAAAGCCAACCUCCAGUGGCUUUGAUAAAGGAUCUCUUGGUGUGUUCCUUGAGAAGAGGACUGAUGUCCUCCCAGAUGUUGCUACAUCUGACCAGCAGUAUGCAGAAUCUUGUUGGAUUUAUUUUGAC
rnacentral:lncRNA from 1 species